rnacentral:ncRNA from 1 species
CAAAGGGGUGCCCCACCAUGCGGGCUGAGAUCAUACCCUCGAACCUGAUGCAGGUAAUGCUGCCGUAGGAAUUGGAUAU